UACGUAGGGGGCAAGCGUUGUCCGGAAUCAUUGGGCGUAAAGCGCGUGUAGGCGGUCCGGUAAGUCCGCUGUGAAAGUCGGGGGCUCAACCCUCGGAUGCCGGUGGAUACUGUCGGGCUUGAGUACGGAAGAGGCGAGUGGAAUUCCUGGUGUAGCGGUGAAAUGCGCAGAUAUCAGGAGGAACACCCGUGGCGAAGGCGGCUCUCUGGGACGGUACUGACGCUGAGACGCGAAAGCGUGGGGAGCGAACAGG
rnacentral:rRNA from 1 species